rnacentral:rRNA from 1 species
CCUACGGGCGGCUGCAGUGGGGAAUAUUGGACAAUGGACGAAAGCCUGAUCCAGCCAUGCCGCGUGUGUGAAGAAGGCCUUCGGGUUGUAAAGCACUUUCAGUGGGGAAGAAAGCCUUGGGGCUAAUACCCUCGAGGAAGGACAUCACCCACAGAAGAAGCACCGGCUAACUCCGUGCCAGCAGCCGCGGUAAUACGGAGGGUGCGAGCGUUAAUCGGAAUUACUGGGCGUAAAGCGCGCGUAGGCGGUCUGAUAAGCCGGUUGUGAAAGCCCCGGGCUCAACCUGGGAACGGCAUCCGGAACUGUCAGGCUAGAGUGCAGGAGAGGAAGGUAGAAUUCCCGGUGUAGCGGUGAAAUGCGUAGAGAUCGGGAGGAAUACCAGUGGCGAAGGCGGCCUUCUGGACUGACACUGACGCUGAGGUGCGAAAGCGUGGGUAGCAAACAGGAUUAGAUACCCCGGUAGUC